AUAAAGUUAGGUAGGUGAAGAUAGAUGAGCUUGCCUGGUGUUCCCGGUAAAUUUCUCCUCUUCUUCACUGAAUUUGUAGUAGGGUUAGGGUUAGGGUUUGGAGUUGGUUCUUGAUGAACAAAGCCUCUGAAGGUAGAGGAGGGAACAGAAAACCCAUCUUCAGACAUCAUUGUAAUGGGUAUCCAGAAGUCGAGAGUAAGUGGGUUUGUGUCCUAAAACUAGCUAAAAG
rnacentral:misc_RNA from 1 species